UGGCAGUCACGGGUAACGGGGAAUUAGGGUUCGAUUCCGGAGAGGGAGCCUGAGAAAUGGCUACCACUUCUAAGGAAGGCAGCAGGCGCGUAAAUUACCCAAUCCUGAUUCAGGGAGGUAGUGACAAGAAAUAACAACUCGGGUCCCUCACGGGACUGCGAGAUUGCAAUGAGAACAAUUUAAACCACUUAUCAAGGAACAAUUGGAGGGCAAGUCUGGUGCCAGCAGCCGCGGUAAUUCCAGCUCCAAUAGCGUAUAUUAAAGUUGUUGCAGUUAAAAAGCUCGUAGUUGAAUUUCUGGCCAGUCCUGCACUGCGCAGUUUGCCGGUGUAGGGCUUGGUCAUCCGUAGGGGAAUCCAGUUCGGCCUUCACUGGUCGGCUGGUGGAACCUACAAUUUACUGUGAAAAAAUUAGAGUGUUUCAGGCAGGCAAUCGCUUGGAUACUCCAGCAUGGAAUAAUGGAAUAGGACUUUGGUCUAUUUGUUGGUUUGAGAUCAAAGUAAUGAUUAAUAGGGACAGUUGGGGGCAUUCGUAUUUAAUUGUCAGAGGUGAAAUUCUUGGAUUUAUUAAAGACGAACUUAUGCGAAAG
rnacentral:rRNA from 1 species